rnacentral:lncRNA from 1 species
AAGGAUUAUUAUUGAAGCAACUUUCAAUCUAUUUCAAAUCCAUUUUUUGAAUUAAGGAAGGAUGAAUUUGGCUUUACCUUUUAACCACAGGGUUCUGAGAAUCCCCAGGCGAAUCUGCCUUCUUUGCUUCUUCCCACACAGACUCAGAAAUCUUAAAUAUGAAUAGACUUUCUGGCCUGUAUUAAACAUUUUGGCCUGUGUUGGGGCAAAUGGAGAUAUUGGGAUCCUGUUGGACACAGCAAAAAAUGGAGCAGAAACCCAAACUACCUAACUUUGGAAACAGUGUCAAGAGUCUAGAGCAAGGACUAGAGUGAACAAAUGUAAAAGCAGAAAUUAAAUUUAGAUCCCUAGAACUUUUAGAAUAUUAAGGUAGUAUAGAGUUGUAAUGAUUGUCUGGUCCAAUCCAUUUUGGUGAGAUGACUUCCACAAAGUCACAAAAUUGCCACUGGCCAAACAGAUGUUGAAAUUUUGUUCUCUUGAGCUAUUCCUUGAACUUUUCUUCCCUUAGCAUCUGAUUCAGAAACCCUGGGCACGGGGUCUGGCUCUCUUGUUAACCACAUCUGUGAUCUUGUGCAAAUCACUGAUUGUCACUGAAACUCAUUUUCCCCAUCUGAAAAAUGGGGAUAAUAAUACCUUUCAGAUUGUUGUUGAUUAAAUGGAUUUGGAAGCCCUGUGUAGAAGUAAAGCACAUGGAGAUGUUAUUAAAGCUGUGGAAUCAAGCUAAGUCUAGUUGGAUGUACUCAUAUUCUUUAGGAAAUUUCAUGCUAGAUCUCCACUUGACUUCUUCCAGAACACUAUGGGUGUGAAUCUGAAGUCCAUUAAUAUGUCACACAAUAAGAGGUGGUGAGGUGGUCAGCCAUUAUUACCUCAGUAACAUCAUCUCCAAGGGCCCACUUUUGAUCUGGAAGGAAAAUGACUCUUGGAAGUUGCUGCAAGUAUUAUCAAGGACAUUUGUUAAAGAAGAAAGCCACAAAGACAUGUAGAUUACUGAAUGUAGAAAGCAAUGGAAUAGCUCGGAUCAUCAAGACGUUGCCAGUUUAUACAUCCUGUGCAAGAUGUGUGGGGCUGAGACAACUGUCAAAAGGAGGGACCGAUUUCUUCUCCCUGGCAUCUGUAGCAGCUUGUCAGCCAUGA